rnacentral:rRNA from 1 species
UACAUGGGGUGCAAACGUUGCUCGGAAUCAUUGGGCGUAAAGCGCGCGUAGGCGGUUACUUAAGUCGGAUGUGAAAGCCCUCGGCUUAACCGAGGAAGUGCAUCCGAAACUGAGUAGCUAGAGUACUAAAGAGGGUCGCGGAAUUCCCGGUGUAGAGGUGAAAUUCGUAGAUAUCGGGAAGGAACACCGGUGGCGAAGGCGGCGACCUGGGCCAAUACUGACGCUGAGGUGCGAAAGCGUGGGGAGCAAACAGG